CACAACGGAGACGUUUCCGCUGACUUCUGGCUAGCUUGCCCGCGGAGCCGCCUCGCGGUGUGCUGAACCGCGUGGAGAGAUGUAGCGCCACAGGCGAGACAAGAGUCUCCUAUAUCGAGGCAUGCCUGUUCCUUGCCACGCCCCAUUUGAAAAUUCAUGGCAAAAACGCUUGACGCUGACGAAAGUUCAGGUGGUUCCAAAUAGUCUGCCUUGUACGCACCGCCAUCGCGCAGAUGUGAUGUCUACAAGGCGCAGACGUACGAGACGAGGGACUGCUGGCGGAAGUAGACAGCGACCCGAGAACCCGUUCUCCGUUUACGAGAGCUGCCUCUGCGGAUGAAUUUGGUGUUCGCGGAAGAGCGGCCUCAGGCUUUUUCAGUUCGUUCUUUGUGUUCCAGUUAUCUUGACUGCAUAGGUUCACUUAUAGUAGGUUUAUGUGACUUCGCGUGUAACAUAUCGAUGCAGCUGGCCACCGCAAAAAACUCCUGGAACGUCGAUCUUGCCGCUUCGGCAGCCAGCCUGGCCGCGGGAUCCGUAAGAUGGGGAAACAGACAGGCUUCAAACCAAGUCCUCAAAGCUUCGCAAGCGGAUAUUUGUGUGUUGGCCACGCAUUGCGCCGGCAUUACGCCUACGCAGUUCUCCCUUUGCAUCGCUCAGCGUGAAAAGGUUUCCUAUUUCUCAUGGGGCAGGCACUUUCAGAACCAAAAGCCGAUGGAGAACAACUCAGUGUGCCACUGAAUGCGGCGGUUCGGGCUUCUACACUCUUCCUCACAUCAGCUCUUCGUGUCUCUCGUGAAAGCCCGUCUGAAGUUACCGGCUUUCCUUGACAGGAGGAAUCUCGUAAGAGCAGAGAGUCCGCUAAAGGGCUGUCGGCGUCCUUGCUUGCGGCACCGCUAACCCCAACUUCUAGCGUUGUGACAUGAUUCAGUGUUGUCUGCCUCCACACCUCGUUCAAACAGGAAAUAACCUGGUUCGAUCGUCGGUGGAGAAGGAGGGUAGAGGGAGUUUUCUAUGUCCACUCGCUCGCGAAUCAAGUGUGAUGGAAGCUACGCGGAAGCGGACAGGGGAAACCGGUUCGAAAGUCUUUCAGGUGUGACCUGUGCGAACCAUCGAUUGCCAAGGCGUCUUCGCCUUCUCGUUGGCAAUCCAGUGACGUGACAAAAACACUCCAGAAAAAUGUUUACAGACCUUUCUCUUCCCGAACGGGGGAGGGGUGGCACUCCUACCGUUUCGGUUCCUGUCCACUGACGUCUACUGGACAAAAACGCUCCGCGCGAAGAUUCAAACUUUGUGUUCCAGCCACGAAAUCCUGACUGGCCUGGGAGUCAGGGACAAGAUGUGUGUGUCUCAAAUCCGGCGGCGCACAACUGGAUUGCCACAGACUGUCGAGAUUCCACGAUAUGAGCUUGGCGGGCCAACUGCUCGGGGUGACAUAUGCACGCGUUAGCGUUCCUCAUACCGGCUCAACUCUCCACAUGAGCGGGAUGAGGCACCGAAAAAACGUCAUGCUUUUGCUCGACGCCUUUAGGGUACAGUCUUUCAUUUCGUGCCUGAAAAGCUUGCGAGUCGCCCACGACUUUGCUGCGCUGGCGGCGCCAAGCUGAGCCGUCCCGGGCAUCCACUGCUGGUUUCAGGAGUAACUCUCGGUGUUUGUGCGCAAGCGCGUGCAGCCAUGCAGCACGUCAUGGAUUUUUAUGCCAAACAGG
rnacentral:lncRNA from 1 species